ACAGCAGCCGCCGCGGGAAUACGUAGGUGGCAAGCGUUGUCCGGAACUAUUGGGCGUAAAGGGCUCGCAGGCGGUUUCUUAAGUCUGAUGUGAAAGCCCCCGGCUCAACCGGGGAGGGUCAUUGGAAACUGGGAAACUUGAGUGCAGAAGAGGAGAGUGGAAUUCCACGUGUAGCGGUGAAAUGCGUAGAGAUGUGGAGGAACACCAGUGGCGAAGGCGACUCUCUGGUCUGUAACUGACGCUGAGGAGCGAAAGCGUGGGGAGCGAACAGGAUUAGAUACCCCUGUAGUCCCUGUCUCUUAUAC
rnacentral:rRNA from 1 species